AUUGAACGCUGGCGGCAGGCCUAACACAUGCAAGUCGAGCGGUAGAGAGAAGCUUGCUUCUCUUGAGAGCGGCGGACGGGUGAGUAAUGCCUAGGAAUCUGCCUGGUAGUGGGGGAUAACGUUCGGAAACGGACGCUAAUACCGCAUACGUCCUACGGGAGAAAGCAGGGGACCUUCGGGCCUUGCGCUAUCAGAUGAGCCUAGGUCGGAUUAGCUAGUUGGUGAGGUAAUGGCUCACCAAGGCGACGAUCCGUAACUGGUCUGAGAGGAUGAUCAGUCACACUGGAACUGAGACACGGUCCAGACUCCUACGGGAGGCAGCAGUGGGGAAUAUUGGACAAUGGGCGAAAGCCUGAUCCAGCCAU
rnacentral:rRNA from 1 species